GAGGGGGUCUCUCUCUCUCUCUCUCUGUGUGUUUGUAGUCUCUCGAUGGAGAGGGGUCAUUUAGCUGGAGGGGGUCUCUCUCUCUCUCUGUGUGUUUGUAGUCUCUCGAUGGAGAGGGGUCAUUUAGCUGGAGGGGGUCUCUCUCUGUGUGUGUUUGUAGUCUCUCGAUGGAGAGGGGUCAUUUAGCUGGAGGGGGUCUCUCUCUCUCUCUGUGUGUUUGUAGUCUCUCGAUGGAGAGGGGUCAUUUAGCUGGAGGGGGUCUCUCUCUCUCUCUGUGUGUUUGUAGUCUCUCGAUGGAGAGGGGUCAUUUAGCUGGAGGGGGUCUCUCUCUCUCUCUGUGUGUUUGUAGUCUCUCGAUG
ensembl:lncRNA